UACAGAGACUGCAAGCGUUACUCGGAUUCACUGGGCGUAAAGGGAGCGCAGGCGGACCGGUGUGUCAGAUGUGAAACCCCAGGGCUCAACCCUGGGACUGCGUCUGAAACUGCCGGUCUAGGGACUCGGAGGGGCUAGUGGAAUUCCUGGUGGAGCAGUGAAAUGCGUAGAUAUCGGGAGGAACACCGGUGGCGAAGGCGGUUCUCUGGGCCUGUACUGACGCUGAGGAGCGAAAGCGUGGGGAGCGAACAGG
rnacentral:rRNA from 1 species